rnacentral:rRNA from 1 species
CAGUAGCCGCGGUAAUACGAACCGUGCGAACGUUAUUCGGAAUCACUGGGCUUAAAGCGCGUGUAGGCGGAUGGGAACGUCGGUCGUUGAAAUCCCCCGGCUUAACCGGGGAAGUGGCGCCGAUACGACCCGUCUGGAGGAGCGUAGGGGGAGCUGGAACUUCCGGUGGAGCGGUGAAAUGCGUUGAGAUCGGAAGGAACGCCCGUGGCGAAAGCGAGCUCCUGGACGUUUUCUGACGCUGAGACGCGAAAGCCAGGGGAGCGAACGGGAUUAGAUACCCCGGUAGUCCCUGUCUCUUAUU